UGGAAAAGCACGGAGAUAACACGAGUCAUGAGCUGAAAACUCAUUUUCAGACCGACUUCUUAGGUUUUUCUUUCUCUCUCAUUAUUUUACGACAACAAACAUAAAAAAGAAAAGGGAUUUCUAAAGUUCAUCUACCCUCCCUGAGCUGAUCCAAAUCAUGCUCUGAAAAAGUCGAGAAAGAGAGAUAAUAAAAUUAGGGUCUUGUAUUUAUUCUGGUUUAAUGUCUCGAGCUCCAUCAACACUGAUGACAAAUUUCUCAGAUGGAAAUAUCAUUGAUUUCAUUGAUAGUAGAAACGUUGAAAUUCGUAAUGAUAUUGAUUACCGGUUGCAAAUGCACUCCUCUUUGGUCCGGAGGCUUUCCUUUGAGAGGGAGUUGGAGGGUCAUCAGGGUUGUGUUAACAGUGUGGCAUGGAACUCAAGCGGGUCACUCCUUGUAUCUGGAUCAGAUGAUGCGCUAAUUAAUAUUUGGAGUUAUUCAAGCAGGAAGCUUUUGCAUAGUAUAGAGAGUGGACAUUCUGCAAACAUAUUCUGUGCAAAAUUUGUUCCUGAGACUUGUGAUGAACUUGUGGUGUCUGGAGCAGGAGAUGCAGAGGUCCGCCAAUUUAACUUAUCUCUCUUAACUACGGGAAAACCUGGAGAGAGCGCAAUAGAACCUUCAGCGUUGUUUCAGUGCCAUUCAAGGAGAGUGAAGAAGCUAGCUGUGGAAGUUGGGAACCCUAAUGUUGUAUGGAGCGCGAGUGAAGAUGGAACUUUGCGGCAGCAUGACUUCAGGGAGGGUACUUCUUGCCCUCCAAAUGGAUCAUCUCACCAAGAAUGUCGUAGUGUUCUACUUGAUAUGCGUUGUGGAGCGAAAAAAUCACUAGCUGAUCCUCCUAAACAAUGUCUGUCCUUAAAAUCUUGUGACAUCAGUACCACUCGCCCACAUUUACUCCUUGUUGGUGGCAGUGAUGCUUUUGCUCGUUUAUAUGAUAGAAGGAUGCUUCCACCACUUAGUUCUUGUCAGACGAUGACGAAGCCCCCACCGUGCAUUGAUUACUUCUGUCCGAUGCAUCUUUCUGAUCGUCGAACUCCAAGUUUACACCUGACUCAUGUUACUUUUAGCCCAACUGGAGAAGAAGUUCUUCUUAGCUAUAGUGGCGAGCAUGUUUACCUAAUGGAUGUGAACACUGGGGGUGAAAUUGUCACAAAGUAUUCCGUGGAUGAUGUUUCAGAGCAAUAUAAGCUGGUCCCUACAACCAGUAGAACCACGACCGAAGUGCCGGCACCACGAGUCUUUGGGAAGGAUAUACGACGAAGAAGAAGGAAUUCCUCUGACAUGCUUAGCAAAUGCAAGGAGUUAGUUGAAAUUGCUGAAGCAUCCUUAAGAGAAUCAAAAAACUAUUAUGGUAUUGAAGCAUGCAAUGAAGUACUGGAUGGGAAUGCUUCUGUUGUCGGGCCAAAGCUGAGGCAUGAGUGCUUAUGUACUCGUGCAGCAUUGCUCCUUAAGAGGAAGUGGAAAAAUGAUAUCCAUAUGGCGGUAAGAGAUUGCAACAAAGCUCGAAGCAUUGAUCCUUUGUCAUUUAAGGCACACUUCUAUAUGUCGGAAGCUCUUUUGCAGUUAGGGAAACAUAAGGAGGCUCUGGAGUACGCUAUAGCUGCACAGCUUUUGGCUCCAUCAAAUACGGAAGUGGCAGAGAGAGUGAUCAGUAUUAAAGAACAUCUUGCCGCAGCUGAAGCUGAGAAGAGUAACACUAACGAUGGGCAAUCACAGUCUGAAGCUCGACCAGGAAGAAUGCGGACAGCGAUUGACGUACUGAACAGUGAUGCACCAGUAGAUGAUGUAAGAUCCAGAGAGGAUUCUGAUUAUGAAGCAGAAGUUGAACUAGAUUUUGAAACGUCAGUGUCAGGUGAUGAAGCAAAUGCUGCACAUUCUGGUCCUCAUAUAAAUUUUAGAUUUCGCCGGAGAAGCGACUCAGCUAGAGAAAGUAGCUGUACAAAUGGCUCCUGCGGAUCCACCUCAUCCUCAUCGUCUCAAAAUGAUAACACAUCUUAUCAGCCUGAAACAGUUGUUGAUAUGAAACAAAGAUACGUUGGACAUUGCAACGUAGGGACGGACAUUAAGCAGGCCAGUUUUCUUGGUCAAAGAGGGGAAUAUGUUGCUAGCGGAAGUGAUGAUGGGAGGUGGUUUAUUUGGGAGAAGCGAACAGGAAGACUGGUAAAAAUGCUUUCUGGGGAUGAAGCAGUUGUGAAUUGUGUACAGUGUCAUCCAUUUGAUUGUACCAUUGCUACCAGCGGGAUCGACAACACAAUCAAGAUAUGGACGCCGGAAGCGCCAGUUCCAUCCAUUGUGGCAGGAGUAUCGGUAGGACCUGAGAUGGGAGAUGUGCUAAGUGCCAUGGAGACCAAUCAAAAUAAGUUGUCACGUAACCGUAAUGUCCUGCCCUUUGAACUUCUGGAGCGUUUUAGGAUGCACGAAUUUGCUGAGGGAACACUGCACCCAUUUGAAUGUGCUCAAACAUGAGACUCUCUUACCAUACAAACCAUGUAUAAAGAAAGCAAAAAAAGAACAAGAGCUGCGGGAGCUUUGGAAGAAGCGAUCUGUUCUAGAGCCGUCUUAUUGGGAACAAGAACCUGACCUCUAGAGAGAAAAAAGAUCAAAGUAACAAGGGAACUCAGCAAAAUCUAUACUUAAGAGUGCUCCUGUCAAUACCAUUGCAGACCUCAUAAACAGAGGAGGGUCGUUCCAGAAACAAUAUCAUGCAUCAGAUUACAAAUAAUGUCACCCGCAGGCACUAUGGUAUAUUCUGGAAGUUGGAAUUCGGGUAGGAAACAGAAAUCUCUGUUCAGGCAAUUUUCUGCACAUUCAGAGAUGGGAAGAGUGUAGUGUCUAUAGCAUCCAUCUUUUCUUAAUAAAGAAAUUCAGCAAGUAGAAGAACAUUGUUGUAAAGAGUGGCGUUUCUGGUUUUGGUGCUCCAGAUAAUAUUAGGGAAAUGUCGUCAGGUUUAUCCAUGUACUGCAAUAUGAAUGUGUGUUGUAUAUUCAGAUUACGCAAGUGUAAAUGUUAUUUCUGCCAUACUUGCUGCAUCCUGACUUUACAAACGGUAAUAGUAGUUGGAUACUGUUCGAUAUUAGAUAUACUACGAGGUUGCUGUAAACUGUAGUACAACUGGCCAAGUAUCGUUCCAUGUAACAUUUUCUACUUUUCCAUCA